UUAACUUAUUUAGUUAUAGAUUCAGAAUAACAUAGAAUUAACAGAGUUUCAUGGGCCACCGGCAGGUCGUGUCUACCCGGUAGGGUCCUACAGGGUAGGACCUCACCGGGUAGACACAACCUGCCGAGGCAACAGAAGGUAAGUUCACAUGGGUUUAGGGAGUUGUAAUAACUCUUUAAUGAUCCCUCCGCUGGUUCACCAACGGAGA
rnacentral:misc_RNA from 1 species